CAUGCCGCGUGAAGGAUGAAGGCCCUCUGGGUCGUAAACUUCUUUUAUUAGGGAAGAAACCUCAAGAUGCGUCUUGAGCUGACGGUACUUAAUGAAUAAGGAUCGGCUAACUUCGUGCCAGCAGCCGCGGUAAGACGAAGGAUCCAAGCGUUGUCCGGAUUUACUGGGUUUAAAGGGUGCGUAGGCGGAAAAUUAAGUCAGUGGUGAAAGCCCGCAGCUCAACUGUGGAACUGCCAUUGAAACUGGUUCUCUUGAAUAUAGCUGAGGCAGAUGGAAUAUAACAUGUAGCGGUGAAAUGCUUAGAUAUGUUAUAGAACACCGAUUGCGAAGGCAGUCUGCUAAACUAUUAUUGACGCUGAGGCACGAAAGCGUGGGGAGCGAACAGGAUUAGAUACCCUGGUAGUCCACGCCCUAAACGUUGAUUACUCGCUGUUGGCGAUAUACUGUCAGUGGCUAAGCGAAAGCAUUAAGUAAUCCACCUGGGAAGUACGACCGCAAGGUUGAAACUCAAAGGAAUUGACGGGGGCCCGCACAAGCGGAGGAGCAUGUGGUUUAAUUCGAUGAUACGCGAGAAACCUUACCUGGGCUUAAAUGUCAGGUGACCGCUGCCGAAAGGUGGUUUCCUUUCGGGGCAACUGGCAAGGUGCUGCUUGGC
rnacentral:rRNA from 1 species